AACGAACGCUGGCGGCAGGCCUAACACAUGCAAGUCGAACGGCCCUUCGGGGUAGUGGCGGACGGGUGAGUAACGCGUGGGAAUGUGCCCUUUGGUACGGAACAACUGAGGGAAACUUCAGCUAAUACCGUAUGUGCCCUUCGGGGAAAGAUUUAUCGCCAUUGGAGCAGCCCGCGUUGGAUUAGGUAGUUGGUGGGGUAAAGGCCUACCAAGCCUACGAUCCAUAGCUGGUCUGAGAGGAUGAUCAGCCACAUUGGGACUGAGACACGGCCCAAACUCCUACGGGAGGCAGCAGUGGGGAAUCUUGCGCAAUGGGCGAAAGCCUGACGCAGCCAUGCCGCGUGUAUGAUGAAGGUCUUAGGAUUGUAAAAAUACUUUCACCGGGGAAGAUAAUGACGGUACCCGGAGAAGAAGCCCCGGCUAACUUCGUGCCAGCAGCCGCGGUAAU
rnacentral:rRNA from 1 species